CCGAGUUUACAACUCCCAAACCCCUGUGAACAUACCUAUACGUUGCCUCGGCGGAUCAGCCCGCGCCCCGUAAAAAGGGACGGCCCGCCCGAGGACCCUAAACUCUGUUUUUAGUGGAACUUCUGAGUAAAACAAACAAUAAAUCA
rnacentral:misc_RNA from 1 species